rnacentral:rRNA from 1 species
AUAUUGGGCAAUGGGGGAAACCCUGACCCAGCGACGCCGCGUGAGGGAAGACGGUCUUCGGAUUGUAAACCUCUGUCUUUGGGGACGAAAAAGGACGGUACCCAAGGAGGAAGAUCCGGCUCACUACGUGCCAGCAGCCGCGGUAAUACGUAGGGAGCGAGCGUUGUCCGGAAUUACUGGGUGUAAAGGGAGCGUAGGCGGGAUUGCAAGUUGGAUGUGAAAACUGCGGGCUCAACCCGGAGCGUGCAUUCAAAACUGCGAUUCUUGAGUGAAGUAGAGGCAAGCGGAAUUCCUAGUGUAGCGGUGAAAUGCGUAGAUAUUAGGAGGAACACCAGUGGCGAAGGCGGCUUGCUGGGCUUUUACUGACGCUGAGGCUCGAAAGUGUGGGGAGCAAACAG